UUUUGUGGACACACCAGGAAGUUUUCUCUCUCUAGCUGAUCUAUUCACAGGCCUCUUCAGAACACUAAAAAAUAGCUGACAAAGUUCAACUAUUUCCUAUUCUUGCACUUGCUCAGUCAUUUCCCUUUGUGCCAAAAUCAACAUUACGGAUAGACACAAAUUUUGCUUAUAGUUCUGUUGGCUCUCUCCAAGUUUGUCUGUAGUCACUUCAGACUCUCUGGAGAGUUAAUCACUUCCUUCACAAAGUUAUUGGACAAUACUGGAUUUGACUGUCACCACAGUAAAAGCCUAUUAAAAUCCUGAUCAUUCUAUUUUCAGUGUCAACAUUAGCACAAAUGGGAGCGUUUGCAUUUAAGAUGGAUGACCAAGAAGAAAAAUAAGAAAACUGCUUUCCAUUAAUCUUGUCAUGCUUGGCACAAUGCACAGCUGUGACUCCCCAAAUUUACAGGUUAAGUUCUAUCGUCUUAAAAAAUACUUGAAAAAUCAUAUCUCAUUUUUGCGCACAUUUAUUUUAGGCCAUAAUACAUUUAAAUAUUACCAGAUUCUAUAGAAAAAUAAAUCCUCAAAGGUACCUCUGAUGCUUGGUCAUAAAAAGAGAGGAAAAGAGAGAGCACUAAGAGUUUCUAGGAUGUUGGAGAUUUAAGUUUAAGUUUCUCAUUGGAAUUAGGCAGACGGCUUUGCGCACUGGGCUAUCAUCUACUCUGCAACUGCAUUUCAUCUUCACUAGAAACUGCAUUCUGGAUCUAUAAUACCUUCCUACAAAAUUACAACUGAAAGUAGCAAAAGUCUGCAAAAGGCUUUGAUUACAACAAAUUAAUUUCUCAAGUUAUUUCUUAAUAAGAGAGCAAAACAUCUCCAUUUGUUAACUUUUCAAAAAUGUAUAUGAUUUCUAGAUAACACAUCAGAAUGAAAUACAGUGAAGGUACCAUUAACAUUUCUCCUUGAGUAUUCCAGGUUCCAAAAAUUACAAUACACAGGAGAUACAUCAUAACUCACACUUUCGUCUUUUUGGUAUGCCAAUGGGCUGUGCUGACAGACUUGACUUUAAUCCAACUCAUUUAAGUCUGCCAUGCCUGUUAAUUCUUAUCUGCGUUACUAUUGACCAUGAGACAAAGUUCACCAUUCAGCCUUUUUAGAAACAACCUUUUAAAAGCACAAGAUAUUUUGAGAAGCAAACAGAGGAAGUGGCAUGAAAGGUAGAUGGUGCACAAGUGUUUCAGAGGGUGCUCCAGACAGAGGGGAAUAGACUACAGUUCUGGCUUACAAGGACCAUGGUGACCAGAAACCCCACAAACCAACUAGCUACUGAAGUGCUCCAGGCCAUUCUGAAGCUCCAGAUGUCUGCAAGCCCUUGUCCUCCCCGUUGCAGACAACGGUCUCCCUAUGGCGAGCAGUGGGAUGUGCGUGGUCCCCUCUGUGCACCAUGACCUGGGAGCUCAGUGGCUGCCUGCAGCACCCUGUGCACCAGCUGUCCUGCGUGGACAGCCUGCAAGACAAAACCAACCAGACAUUACAGCUCUCUGAAGCAGGAGAUCUCCAUGCAUUUUGUGAAAACCUAACAGCAAGAGAGAUGGAAGACACACAUUAAAAGCUACCUGAAGGAAAUGUUACCCUAUGUGCAUCACAGCUAUUAGUUCUGUUUGAUGUGCCAGGAUGGUGCACCAACAGACAUAGCUAGCCAUCCCACAUGGCUAGCCAACCAGCACAGUUAGCCAACCCACACACCUAGCUGACCUGUACGGGCAUAUUUCCAAAGCAGCCACAGGUGAUGCUGUCUCUUGCCCAGCCUACAGUGAUGGGAGUGUGUGAUCACUUGGCAGAUGCAGAUUGGGAGAGAAGGGGAAAACUGGAGGUACUGGAGCAGGAGCUGACUAUCGGGUGGGCAUACUGCUAGCUAGAGUCUUCACAGAGUCUGCUAUGUAAGGAGCAAAGGCUAAAAAGACUCUGACAUGUCUCAUUUAGGUGCCUAAAAUUAUGUGGGGUAAGCCCAUAUGUAGUACUCAUUGCAUCAUUUGUUUUGUAAACAUUUAUGGUGAGUGUUCACUUUCCUCUUGUUGGAAGCCCAUUCCUCUGGCUGCCAUGGAGCUCAGCCAUGAGUUUGCAUUGUGUAUGUUGUACACAUACAUAGCACACAGUACUUGCAUCUAUGUUUCGGGAAGUUAUAUUCCUCUCUGUUUGCAUUUCUGCUUUUCAGAAGCUUUCAUGAAUCUGUCAGGGGCCAAUUUAUGGGGCCAAUAAAAGGCAAGCUCUAGACUUUUCAUGGCAUUUCAGGUCACAGAUAUGACAAAUAAUUUAAAAGACCAGUUCUCACAUUAAUUCACCUUUGUAAAUGAAACCCUGAGGCAACGAAAGACCACAAAAACCAAAUAGUGAUUCAACAUGAGACAAUGGGUCACUUCAGGUUUAAGUGAAUAUUAAGAUACUCUAUUUAUUUUUCAAACCCUCAUACAUAUCGUGGAACUUGUUUUUCAUGUGCACUGUUGAAUUUGUAUUGUGUAUGUUGAAAGACUUUUUUUUUCCUUCCUGGUAAUGGGGAGCCUGUGUUAUUUGCACAUUGCAAAACUUGUUCCACAGGUAUGUUGUGAAAUUUUAUUGGGCAUUUUACAGUUUGUGAUUCAUGUCAUGUAAACGUUGUCCAGCUCAGCUUUGUGUUCUACUGAUUUAUGAGUACUGCAUGAAUGUGAUUUGUUGUUUGAUUUUCCUGGGAUGCAAGGAUAAUAUUACCAUUUAAAAAGUCAACACUAACUUAUACUUUCCUUUCUAGGCCUGCAAGAGUUUUUAAGGCUCAAACUGUUUCUCUGGGUAUUCUUUAGCAUCUACUACAAUAGCACCCAAGCCUGGUUGUCUGAAUUAUGUGCUUAUGCAACAGAAGUUACUGGAAAGAGAGUUCCCACUUGCUUUUAUCAUAAAUUUGUAUUUAUUUUUGAUACUAUCAAUGGAGUCACCCCAGUAAUUGUCUGAUUACCAUGUGUUUUCAAUGAGCAGUGACCACUGUUUGUGAGUUUGGCACAGCAAACUGACAUGCAUUGUAUCUGACUGAGCGUAUAGCCCAAGAAUAUGUAUGGACCAAGAUACUAUCAAAUUCAGUAAGUGCUCUCAAGGAUCCUCAAUGAAAGUGAAAGCAUCUGUUUCUCUUUAUGAACAUUUAGGCCUAUGUUCAUUUUCCAAACAGAGUAAAUCAUGCUAGCCAUCUCCAGGCCUCCCCUGCUCCCUUUCUAUUCAUAAGUGACAAAGUAGUCACAUCCACUUACUAAAGAAAAUUUAGAGAAUUUUGUAGUUUAGGGUGAAAUAUGUCUAAGUACAGUAGGAGUUGUUAAACUGUCAAGAGGAAGUCACCUCAUGAGUUAUGGAACCUGUCUAAAUUCUUUACUUGUCUUUGACUGUCUCUAUCUCUGUGUGUAAAAUACAAUGAGACAGGAUAAGACAUGAUGUACCACCCAUCCCUCUUUUCUGCAGUCCCAAGCAAGUCUAAGUUCUAGGUAAUUAAAGUCACCUAGCUUUAUUUAAAAAUUGCCACACUUUCAUUAUUUCGCGCUAAAUGAUUUCAGUGAUUGAAUUAACAGCCUUUUCAGUUUCAUAAGCAGCUACACCUCCGGUCAAAGUAUACCAGCCCUAGUAUAAUUAAUGUCUUUAUCUCCUUUUCACCACUUCAUUUGAAACAUUGUGCUUGUAACAGAGCCAUUUUACCAUGCUCACUCCAGCCACAGCCCAUUAUUGUUAGUAUCUGGACCACUUUACAAAUGCAAAUUAUUACAACUAUUCUUCAUGUCUGUAAUGGCUUCUACAUUUCUUGGUUCCAGCUGGAGUCAAACAGGAGCACCAAAAUACCGCAGAAAAUGCUUUCUUUUACUAUAUUUGGGCAUACACCAAAAACUUAAUUUUAGGAGCAUCAAGUUGUUUGGAAAAGCAGGCAAGCUAUUGUGUCCUGCUUCACUGAAAAUGAGCUUGAAUUUCCUUGAGGUUUGUCUGCUGCUGUGCUACUAACAAAA